GACGAACGCUGGCGGCGUGCCUAAUUACAUGCAAGUCGAACGCUUCUUUUUCCAUCGGAGCUUGCUCCACCGGAAAAGAGGAGUGGCGAAACGGGUGAGUAACACGUGGGUAACCGUGCCCAUCAGAAGGGGAGUAACACUUGGAACAGGUGCUAAUACCGUAUAACAAUCGAAACCGCAUGGUUUCGAUUUGAAAGGCGCUUUCGGGUGUCGCUGAUGGAUGGACCCGCGGUGCAUUAGCUAGUUGGUGAGGUAACGGCUCACCAAGGCGACGAUGCAUAGCCGACCUGAGAGGGUGAUCGGCCACAUUGGGACUGAGACACGGCCCAAACUCCUACGGGAGGCAGCAGUAGGGAAUCUUCGGCAAUGGACGAAAAGUCUGACCGAGCAACGCCGCGUG
rnacentral:rRNA from 1 species